GACGAACGCUGGCGGCAUGCCUUACACAUGCAAGUCGAACGGUAACAGGUCUUCGGACGCUGACGAGUGGCGAACGGGUGAGUAAUACAUCGGAACGUGCCCAGUCGUGGGGGAUAACUACUCGAAAGAGUAGCUAAUACCGCAUACGAUCUGAGGAUGAAAGCGGGGGACCUUCGGGCCUCGCGCGAUUGGAGCGGCCGAUGGCAGAUUAGGUAGUUGGUGGGAUAAAAGCUUACCAAGCCGACGAUCUGUAGCUGGUCUGAGAGGACGACCAGCCACACUGGGACUGAGACACGGCCCAGACUCCUACGGGAGGCAGCAGUGGGGAAUUUUGGACAAUGGGCGAAAGCCUGAUCCAGCAAUGCCGCGUGCAGGAUGAAGGCCUUCGGGUUGUAAACUGCUUUUGUACGGAACGAAAAAGCUCCUUCUAAUACAGGGGGCCCAUGACGGUACCGUAAGAAUAAGCACCGGCUAACUACGUGCCAGCAGCCGCGGUAAAAC
rnacentral:rRNA from 1 species